CGAAAUUAUUCUAUUUUAUUGUUUCUGUAAAUGAGAACGUAAUUAUUUAUCUUCAGACCACAUACAUAUUGACUCAUGUCACCAAAUAUUAGUACAAAUCAUAUCUUGUUUCUAAACUCUUUUCCAAGAUAAAUCGGAAUAUGCACAUGACAGUAUACCUGGGCAACGGGCCGAGGGGGCCCGUCGUGCCCUGCGGGCCGUGCCUUACCGGCCUGCGGGCCUGACCUCCGGCCCAGGCACGGGCCCGUGGGCCAUUUUGCGUACCGGGCGGGCCCGUCAGGCCGGGCCAGCCCAUAGCCCGUUGAACAAUAACAUAUCAAUAAACAC
rnacentral:lncRNA from 1 species